GACGAACGCUGGCGGCGUGCCUAAUACAUGCAAGUUGAGCGCUGAAGGUUGGUACUUGUACCAACUGGAUGAGCAGCGCACGGGUGAGUAACGCGUGGGGAAUCUGCCUUUGAGCGGGGGACAACAUUUGGAAACGAAUUCUAAUACCGCAUAAAAACUUUAAACACAAGUUUUAAGUUUGAAAGAUGCAAUUGCAUCACUCAAAGAUGAUCCCGCGUUGUAUUAGCUAGUUGGUGAGGUAAAGGCUCACCAAGGCGAUGAUACAUAGCCGACCUGAGAGGGUGAUCGGCCAGAUUGGGACUGAGACACGGCCCAAACUCCUACGGGAGGCAGCCGUAGGGAAUCUUCGGCAAUGGCCGAAAGUCUGACCGAGCAACGCCGCGUGAGUGCAGAAGGUUUUCGGAUCGUAAAACUCUGUUGGUAGAGAAGAACGUUGGUGAGAGUGGAAAGCUCAUCAAGUGACGGUAACUACCCAGAAAGGGACGGCUAACUACGUG
rnacentral:rRNA from 1 species